GACGAACGCUGGCGGCGUGCCUAACACAUGCAAGUCGAACGUGAAGCCGGUGCUUGCACCGGUGGAAAGUGGCGAACGGGUGAGUAACACGUGAGAAACCUGCCCCGGAGACUGGGACAACCAUUGGAAACGAUGGCUAAUACCGGAUGCCCUCAGAUGGUCGCAUGACCGACUGAGGAAAUGCUCUGGCGCUCUGGGAGGGUCUCGCGGCCUAUCAGUUAGUUGGUGGGGUAACGGCCUACCAAGACAUCGACGGGUAGCUGGUCUGAGAGGACGAUCAGCCACACUGGGACUGAGACACGGCCCAGACUCCUACGGGAGGCAGCAGUGGGGAAUAUUGCGC
rnacentral:rRNA from 1 species